GAUGAACGCUGGCGGCGUGCCUAAUACAUGCAAGUCGAGCGAAUGGAUUAAGAGCUUGCCCUUAUGAAGUUAGCGGCGGACGGGUGAGUAACACGUGGGUAACCUGCCCAUAAGACUGGGAUAACUCCGGGAAACCGGGGCUAAUACCGGAUAACAUUUUGAACCGCAUGGUUCGAAAUUGAAAGGCGGCUUCGGCUGUCACUUAUGGAUGGACCCGCGUCGCAUUAGCUAGUUGGUGAGGUAACGGCUCACCAAGGCGACGAUGCGUAGCCGACCUGAGGGGGUGAUCGGCCACACUGGGACUGAGACACGGCCCAGACUCCUACGGGAGGCAGCAGUAGGGAAUCUUCCGGAAUGGACGAAAGUCUGACGGAGCAACGCCGCGUGAGUGAUGAAGGCGUUCGGGUCGUAAAACUCUGUUGUUAGGGAAGAACAAGUGCUAGUUGAAUAAGCUGGCACCUUGACGGUACCUAACCAGAAAGCCACGGCUAACUACGUGCCAGCCGCCGCGGUAA
rnacentral:rRNA from 1 species